UUAGGGCCCUGGCUCCAUCUCCUUUAGGAAAAUCUUCUGUGGGGAGUGGGGUUUCGACCCUAACC
rnacentral:pre_miRNA from 1 species